UUACGGUCAUAUUACGGUGAAACACCGGUUCGCGUAAGAUCACCGAAGUUAAGCAAUAUCGAGUCUGGUUAGUACCUAGAUGGGUGACCACUUGGGAAAACCAGGUGCUGCAA